CAACGAGGAUUUUUAGGAGAAAUGGAGUGUUUUAAAGGAGUAGAGAAAUGAAGGAAUAAAAAUUAGGAGUUCUUUGUAAAGUUGAGAGAUGGUCAAACUUCCUCCCGAACUCUGCAAACUCUUGAUAUAAUGUCCAUGGAAUUGGCAAAAGGGUAACAAAAAAGUGAGGGCCACCAGGGGAGACGAGAAGCUACGCCGACUCGAGCUUUCCGUGCAAUGUUUGGUGCCCAUCCCAUCAAGUUGUCGCAUUUUUUCCGUACUUACUUGUGACCGUUGUGCUUGCUGAUUCUUCUGAUCUUCGAUCAUCAUGGCAUUUACCAAUGAAUACAUAUUUUAUGGAUGUGCUGAUGCCAACAAAAUGUAAUGUAAACAAACCAGGCAGGCCAGCAGGUACUGCCAGUCAGCAAUGAGUAAAUCAGCGCUCAGAGAAGGGAUAACGCGGCACCAGGAGGCAGGAAACCAACCGUUCCUGUCUAUAUCCCAGUUCAAGACAAACUUCUGGUCGUGAUUGGGGAUAACAACACCUCAAUUUCAGGUGUUGAGAAUGCCUGUGACUGAGAACAACCAACAGCUGUUAUCAAUGUUCCUGUAGGUUGGUGCAGCAAGCUAUGGCAGGAAAACCAGAACAUCGAACUGCUGCAGAGGGAUAAUAACUUCUAGUGCACCCAUCCUCUGCAUCAUUGCAGGAUCUUGCCAAGAUGACAUUUGAGGAGUUCCAUCACCUGUCUGAGAAAGAGAAAAAUAGAUAGGGCUCAGUAUGUUGAUAUGCAAUACAAACUAGCUCAAAUAUUAAAAAAAGUCAUUCUUUACCAUCUCCUCUUUCAGUAAUAUUAUACUAUUUUAUUUUCAUUUUGUAUGGUAACCGUGGCAUAGUAAUAAGGGGCAAGCCGGGCAAAUGCCCUGGGCAGCACAUUUCUCAGUGGGCGGCACAAGCAAGGCUACUGAGAGUAUUGGUGUUCAGACUGUUAUUUUAGAAUUUGCAACAUUGAAGGCAUGCAAAAUAAUGAUUUAAAGUUGAUGUAUGUAUAAUAUAAUAUGUAUACAUAAUACACAAAUGCUUAAUUUUACAUUUUGAUUAUUUUUGGGUGCAGCAUUUCCAGGUAAAUCUAUCUCUCACUAUGCCGCUGUAUGAAAGGGCUGUGGUAUUUAACAGAGUAUAAAAUAUUGUGAUGUGU